rnacentral:rRNA from 1 species
GGUGAAAAGCACCCCGGAAGGGGAGUGAAAUAGAACCUGAAACCGUGUGCUUACAAGUAGUCAGAGCCCGUUAAUGGGUGAUGGCGUGCCUUUUGUAGAAUGAACCGGCGAGUUACGAUUUGAUGCAAGGUUAAGCAGUAAAUGUGGAGCCGUAGCGAAAGCGAGUCUGAAUAGGGCGUUUAGUAUUUGGUCGUAGACCCGAAACCAGGUGAUCUACCCUUGGUCAGGUUGAAGUUCAGGUAACACUGAAUGGAGGACCGAACCGACUUACGUUGAAAAGUGAGCGGAUGAACUGAGGGUAGCGGAGAAAUUCCAAUCGAACCUGGAGAUAGCUGGUUCUCUCCGAAAUAGCUUUAGGGCUAGCCUCAAGUGAUGAUUAUUGGAGGUAGAGCACUGUUUGGACGAGGGGCCCCUCUCGGGUUACCGAAUUCAGACAAACUCCGAAUGCCAAUUAAUUUAACUUGGGAGUCAGAACAUGGGUGAUAAGGUCCGUGUUCGAAAGGGAAACAGCCCAGACCACCAGCUAAGGUCCCAAAAUAUAUGUUAAGUGGAAAAGGAUGUGGCGUUGCCCAGACAACUAGGAUGUUGGCUUAGAAGCAGCCAUCAUUUAAAGAGUGCGUAAUAGCUCACUAGUCGAGUGACACUGCGCCGAAAAUGUACCGGGGCUAAACAUAUUACCGAAGCUGUGGAUUGUCCUUUGGACAAUGGUAGGAGAGCGUUCUAAGGGCGUUGAAGCAUGAUCGUAAGGACAUGUGGAGCGCUUAGAAGUGAGAAUGCCGGUGUGAGUAGCGAAAGACGGGUGAGAAUCCCGUCCACCGAUUGACUAAGGUUUCCAGAGGAAGGCUCGUCCGCUCUGGGUUAGUCGGGUCCUAAGCUGAGGCCGACAGGCGUAGGCGAUGGAUAACAGGUUGAUAUUCCUGUACCACCUAUAAUCGUUUUAAUCGAUGGGGGGACGCAGUAGGAUAGGCGAAGCGUGCGAUUGGAUUGCACGUCUAAGCAGUAAGGCUGAGUAUUAGGCAAAUCCGGUACUCAUUAAGGCUGAGCUGUGAUGGGGAGAAGACAUUGUGUCUUCGAGUCGUUGAUUUCACACUGCCGAGAAAAGCCUCUAGAUAGAAAAUAGGUGCCCGUACCGCAAACCGACACAGGUAGUCAAGAUGAGAAUUCUAAGGUGAGCGAGCGAACUCUCGUUAAGGAACUCGGCAA